rnacentral:rRNA from 1 species
GACGGGGGAUGCGAGCGUUAUCCGGAAUGAUUGGGCGUAAAGGGUCCGCAGGUGGCCCGGUCAGUCCGCUGUCAAAGCCUGGGGCUCAACCCUGGAGAGGCGGCCGAGACCACCGGGCUUGAGUCCGGUAGGGGCAGAGGGAAUUCCCGGUGGAGCGGUGAAAUGCGUAGAGAUCGGGAAGAACGCCAAGGGCGAAGGCACUCUGCUAGGCCUGAUUUCGCGACUGACACUCAGGGACGAGAGCCAGGGGAGCGAAUGGG